rnacentral:rRNA from 1 species
UGGGGAAUAUUGGACAAUGGGGGCAACCCUGAUCCAGCAAUGCCGCGUGUGUGAAGAAGGCCUGCGGGUUGUAAAGCACUUUCAAUUGGGAAGAAAAGCUGAAGGUUAAUACCCUUCAGUCUUGACAUUAUCUUUAGAAGAAGCACCGGCUAACUCCGUGCCAGCAGCCGCGGUAAUACGGAGGGUGCAAGCGUUAAUCGGAAUUACUGGGCGUAAAGCGCGCGUAGGCGGUUUAGUAAGUCGGAUGUGAAAUCCCCGGGCUCAACCUGGGAAUUGCAUUCGAUACUGCUUAACUAGAGUAUGGUAGAGGGAAGUGGAAUUCCGGGUGUAGCGGUGAAAUGCGUAGAUAUCCGGAGGAACAUCAGUGGCGAAGGCGACUUCCUGGACCAAUACUGACGCUGAGGUGCGAAAGCGUGGGGAGCAAACA